rnacentral:rRNA from 1 species
GCGUGUAGGUGGAUCGUUAAGUCGGCGGUGAAAUCCCGGGGCUCAACCCCGGAACUGCCUUCGAUACUGGCGAUCUUGAGGGUGAGAGAGGCGAGUGGAAUUUCGAGUGUAGCAGUGAAAUGCGUAGAUAUUCGAAGGAACACCAGUGGCGAAGGCGACUCGCUGGCUCACUACUGACACUGAGAUGCGAAAGCGUGGGGAGCAAACAGGAUUAGAUACCCUGGUAGUCCACGCCGUAAACUAUGGAUGCUAGCCGUUGGGAAGCUUGCUUUUCGGUGGCGCAGCUAACGCAAUAAGCAUCCCGCCUGGGGAGUACGGCCGCAAGGUUAAAACUCAAAGGAAUUGACGGGGG